rfam:Cricetulus griseus cell line CHO-K1, whole genome shotgun sequence.
GGAGAGAUGGCUCAGUAGGUAAAGUGUGUAUGCCUUGCAAGCAUAGGACCUGAGUUCAAACCCCAGAAUCUUUA